UCGACCAUAAAUGACAGCGAAACACAGCAGACACGAUGUUUAUUUAUGUUAUUUAUCUAACUUAUGUGCACUUGCUUCAUUUCCUGUUAAUGUCAGGUGUGAGCUGAUGUACUCAGAGCUCUCCACUUGUGAUCAGAUCACUCAAGAUGCUUGUUAAUGUCAGGUGUGAACAGGGCCAAAGACUCUGGUCUACUUGUGCUGCUGCUGCACCACUUAACUGAAAACCCAUCACUUAAAAAAGUCUCAUUUGCACUGGAUUCAUUUCUCCAGGAGAAGUGAGCUGUUUAUAAUAUUACCUGUGCUGGUCAGUGAUUUUAAUCCAGUCUGGAGCAGAUAUGACUCUGCUGCAUAAUUAGAGCUCUGGCAGCUGAUGGAUGGCACUGCAGCACCUCCACCCUGUCGACCUUGGCCUCACCUACACCGGGCCGAGCAGACCUGUCUGCACGGGUCCGAAAAACUGGUACCUGACCAGAAAUGGACCGGUAUUUAUCUACAAACCGAAACAAGCAGAGCUGUUCAUCUCUCCGUCUACUGGCCGGGAUAUGCAGCCGCCUUAAUAAGGCUGGCUGUCUCCUAUGGUAACCAAGGUCAGGUGGAGAUAUGCUGUGCUUUGUGCAGACGGUCAGACCGGUCUCCUCGUAGAAUGGAUUGCAAGUGACCUGAGUACAGACUACAUGACUUCAGUUGACUUUUUUUUUUUAUAGUUCAGAACCCAAUAGAGGCAUAGAUGAUGGAGGUAGUAAGGGUAAGGAUUUGGUGAAAGGUUUAAAUGCUCUUGUCAGGAAGUAGACCACAGAAUUGAGUGAUGUUGCACAGUUUCACUUGUUCUGUAACUCUGUUCUCCUUUAUUGAGCUUUAAUAAAUGUUCCUGCAUAAGACAUCCUGACAAGUUCUUCACUUUGCCAGAUCUCCAUCAGUUCCUUCAUACAUACAGGUCAUGCACUGUGUAUAGUUUAAGUACUGUAAUGUUUAUAAUGUACAUAGAUUGAAUGUCAUUUCUUGACUUUUUAUUUUGUUGUAUUUAUUACUCCUAAUUCUGUUUUUCCUUGUUUCCUACACCGCUGUAACAUGUUAAUUUCCCACCUGGCGAUUAAUAAAGUCUCAUCUUAUCUUAUUA